rnacentral:rRNA from 1 species
GGAAUCUUGCGCAAUGGGCGAAAGCCUGACGCAGCGACGCCGCGUGGGGGAUGAAGCUUCCCGGAGUGUAAACCCCUUUCGACCCGGACGAAACUCCCGCAAGGGAUUCACGGUACGGGUAUAAGACGCCCCGGCUCACUACGUGCCCGCAGCCGCGGUAAGACGUUGGGGGCCAGCGUUGCUCGGAAUUACUGGGCGUAAAGGGUUCGUAGGCGGUGUGGCAAGUCGGGAGUGAAAUCUCCAGGCUUAACUUGGAGGCUGCUUCCGAAACUGCUGUGCUAGAGUGCGGGAGAGGCGAGUGGAAUUGCAGGUGUAGCGGUGAAAUGCGUAGAUAUCUGCAGGAACACCCGUGGCGAAGGCGGCUCGCUGGACCGCAACUGACGCUGAGGAACGAAAGCUAGGGGAGCAAAC